rnacentral:rRNA from 1 species
UACGUAGGUGGCGAGCGUUAUCCGGAAUUAUUGGGCGUAAAGCGCGCGUAGGCGGUUUUUUAAGUCUGAUGUGAAAACCCACGGCUCAACCGUGGAGGGUCAUUGGAAACUGGAAAACUUGAGUGCAGAAGAGGAAAGUGGAAUUCCAUGUGUAGCGGUGAAAUGCGCAGAGAUAUGGAGGAACACCAGUGGCGAAGGCGACUUUCUGGUCUGUAACUGACGCUGAUGUGCGAAAGCGUGGGGAUCAAACAGGAUUAGAAACCCUCGUAGUCC